rnacentral:rRNA from 1 species
UACAGAGGUGGCAAGCGUUGUUCGGAAUUACUGGGCGUAAAGAGUGUGUAGGCGGUGCUCUAAGUUCGGUGUGAAAUCUCCUGGCUUAACUGGGAGGGUGCGCCGGAAACUGGAGUGCUUGAGCGUGGGAGAGGAAAGCGGAAUUCCUGGUGUAGCGGUGAAAUGCGUAGAUAUCAGGAGGAACACCUGUGGUGUAGACGGCUUUCUGGACCAUUGCUGACGCUGAGACACGAAAGCGUGGGUAGCAAACAGG